GCAAGUCGAGCGGAAACGACAUUAACAAUCCUUCGGGUGCGUUAAUGGGCAUCGAGCGGCGGACGGGUGAGUAAUGCCUAGGAAAUUGCCUUGAUGUGGGGGAUAACCAUUGGAAACGAUGGCUAAUACCGCAUAAUGCCUGCGGGCCAAAGAGGGGGACCUUCGGGCCUCUCGCGUCAAGAUAUGCCUAGGUGGGAUUAGCUAGUUGGUGAGGUAAUAGCUCACCAAGGCGACGAUCCCUAGCUGGUCUGAGAGGAUGAUC
rnacentral:rRNA from 1 species